rnacentral:rRNA from 1 species
UACGUAGGGUGCAAGCGUUGUCCGGAAUUAUUGGGCGUAAAGAGCUCGUAGGCGGUUAGUCGCGUCUGCUGUGAAAACUCGGGGCUUAACUCCGGGCCUGCAGUGGGUACGGGCUGACUAGAGUGCAGAAGGGGCAACUGGAAUUCUCGGUGUAGCGGUGAAAUGCGUAGAUAUCGAGAGGAACACCUGCGGCGAAGGCGGGUUGCUGGGCCGACACUGACGCUGAUGCGCGAAAGCCCAGGGGAGCGAACGGG